GAUGAACGCUGGCGGCGUGCUUAACACAUGCAAGUCGAACGGGGUACCCCAGACGGAGUUUUCGGACAACAGAUAGGACUACCUAGUGGCGGACGGGUGAGUAACGCGUGAGGAACCUGCCUUGGAGAGGGGAAUAACACAGAGAAAUUUGUGCUAAUACCGCAUGAAGCAGUUGAGUCGCAUGGCUCUGACUGCCAAAGAUUUAUCGCUCUGAGAUGGCCUCGCGUCUGAUUAGGUAGUUGGCGGGGUAACGGCCCACCAAGCCGACGAUCAGUAGCCGGACUGAGAGGUUGACCGGCCACAUUGGGACUGAGACACGGCCCAGACUCC
rnacentral:rRNA from 1 species